rnacentral:lncRNA from 1 species
AAGGCGAUCUAGUGUUUCAUUGGGUAAACUGGUGGAUCGGGGCGGAGCGGGACCAAGUUGGGAAUAUUUACAGGACUCGGUACCCGUCUUUGGUGUUGGUUCUGCUGGGAGUGGAGUUAAGGCUGGUUGUGAGCUGCCAUGUCUUUUAUUCCACUCCAGAUGGGAUUUUUCAGUGAAAUAUUGGACAUCCACUGAAAUUCAAUAAAUAAUGAAAACUUGUUAAGUGACUGAUAACUUCAUGUCUGUGCAAAAGAGUUAAUUAGUCUCAUCAGGCAUAAACUUGAUACCUAUGUCCAAAUCUAGCUCCAGAGAGAGAAGCUGUUUAAUUGGCAGUCAAGGCUAUUAGAAGGGUCCAGGAGAGUAGAGGGACUUUGCACUGAGGUGAUUUGAGCCAAGCACAAAGGGGGAAUAUCCUAUGGACACGCGGAAGAACUGACGACUUUGUCACUUGAACAUAGCAGGCACUUCAUUGGCCCAUAAGAGCUACCUGUAGCCGCCUGCGGCCACACUAACUGGAUUCCUGAGUGGGAGGCAGGAGCUGUAUGAGAGAGAAUGUCGAGAGAAAUAAUGGAGGCCAAGACACAUUUCUGGUCAAGUACCCUGAAGUUUACUGAGAGUCCGUGCUUAUAAAGAGGGUAGGCCCAUCCCCCGCCAGCCCAUUCUUGGUGCCUGGAACCAACCCAUAGGUGAUCUACAGGGUGUGUCUCCGGAAUGUCUCAAGGACCUUUCAGCAGGAAGCAGAGUCGAGUUGCAGUUAAGAAAUUGCAUGAAUCUCAGAAGAGACUUUGAACUUUGAAGAAUUGUUGAGACUGUGAUAAGACUAUGGGGACUUUUGAAGUUGGACUAAGUUUAUGUUUUCAUUAUAACAUGGCUAGGUAUUGGUGUUCCAGACUACUUUUAACCCAUGAAGAUAAUGUAGUCCUUCAUCCACUUGAUUAUAUUACAUAUUGUUUGUGGCUCGAUCAAAGUAAUUACCUUUACCUGGACUGCCAACCAACACUUGGCUCCUGAUACUUUUCUGUGUCCUAAGGUAAGUUUGGAGGAGACAGUUGCAUGGAUACUACUCUGGGUGAAAAACCAGAAAACAGGUUGGUCUGCCAGAGAGUGAAACAUCUGUGGGACAAUGCCAGUGUGGCUACCUUCCCCAUGUGGUAUGGGGUAUAGCGUCUUCUUGCUGUAGUGACAGUUGUAUGCUUACUCUAACAGGUUAUAAGAAUUGCAGCCAAUGCCAAACCAACAGAGGAUAGAGUGUGAUUAGAUGGAAUUUCAGGUGUCCAUCCUCUGCUAUGUAUUAGUCGGUGUGUGCCUCUUUGAUGAAUUUCAAGAGAAAACUUGAAUGCAAUUGCCAGAAACUGUAACCACGAGUGUAAAGAACUGGUUGAAAUGGCAAAGGAAGUGCCACAGGACCUCAUUGCAUCAAGCGUGGUGCUUUGAACUCUCAUGGGAGCAGAAACAGAGAGGCAUGAAGCUGGAGAAGUAGUUGAAAGCUACAUCCUGAUUCAUAGGCAGGACACUAGGUUUAGUUUGGACUUUUGACACCUCUUUCAACAAGUCCACACCUCCUAAUCCUUCUCAAAUAGUUCUCUAACUAGGAACCAAGCAUGUGAGUGACAGAGCCAUUCUCAUUCAAAUCAAUCGGAUAUGGAAGUGCAGAUAUCUGUGUGAGGAAACAAGAAAGGAAGGAAAGGACACUAUCAACAUAAGAAAAGGACAGAGUACAUCCAAAGUGCUUUGACAAGCCGGGCAUCAAACUGACAGCUCAUUGGAAAGGCAUGCCUCGUCACAAGCCUGAAGAGACACAGAAUGACAGUUCACAGGCUCAAGUGCAAGAUGGCCUCUCAAUCUUCUUCAGCUGGUUAGGAUCUUGGCUAAUGCAGGGCCUCGGAUGCCAGACAGCAAAGGGCCUGGAGGAACAAGCAUGGUUCCAGCGAGGUCUUUAUGAAAGAAAAGAAAAUCUAGAUUCGGUGAGAGGUGAAGAGGUAGGAGGUCUGACUGUGUGUGUGAGGGAUUUCAUCAUUCCUAGAUUAUUGACCAUUAGAACUUCUUAACCAUGUUUCCUGCUUUCCAUGGGAGAAGAGGAUGAGAGUGUUUAUUGCAAAAAACGCCACCUGAUGGGCAAAGGAAAUACUGAAUGGGGAAGUGCCUGAACAAAAUUAAGGCUUCUGUUGCCUAAUCAUUCAAAAAACCUGAGAUUUUGUUGAAAUUUUUUCUUGUUUCAUCAACUCAAAAUGACAGAAAAGAGGUUCAUAAUAGUUUGUGUGACAUUAGAGAAAUACUCCCUUUGUCCCAAGCAUUAUGUAAAUCUGUCAUUUCUCUUUCCUGACAACCCCAGUCCAUGCAGCUCUAAAGACCUAGGAUGUGCACCCGCAAUUUCAAGGAUACAGUGUGGCCAUAGUUAACAAAGAGCUACAUACUUAGAAUGCAAUCUCAGUGCUUUUCCCGGAAGGCUCACUCUUCUCUUGUAGAAGUCUCUAUGUGCAGCAACCUGACCCAAAGCUGUUAUUAUCCUCAUGAAUGAGCUCAGAAGGAAGAAGUGGAUGCAGCCAGAGGUGCCAACGCGGAAGUACAGGGGAUCCCAGGAAAGAUAACGUCAUUUAAACUAUACCUUCCUGGACUGGCUGGAAUGAAGCCUUGCUGAGAAGAAAGGCUUCAAAUACUUGCCAACUUACUUCAUUAAGAUACUUCAUUGUACUGGAUACCACUGCUGUGUGAUGUGUGCAAACCUUUGCAAUCCUUUCAAAGAACAUCUGCUCAACUGUGCAUUUUUGGAAGUGAAGAAAAUAUUAACAGUCACCCAGGAGGAGAAUAUUACAUUACGCACUCAGGUGACUUCCUUCCAUCUUUCCCCUACCUGUUUGCUUGUCAAACUUAUUGGUCUUCUCUCAGUGCUCCUCUGAGAUUCUGGGAGCCUUGCUGCCUCUGGCUGCAUAUUUUGCAUCAUCUUUCUGUUCUUCCUAGCAUCUCCUCAGACAGAGAUAUCUAUAGAACAUUCCACCCAAAUGCCA